rnacentral:rRNA from 1 species
AUGGAGCAAUACGAGCGCGCGGCUGUUGAUCCGCUCGAGGGGCAGACGGAGCAGGGCGGGGAGGAUCCCGCUCCGUCGGCGGCUCUCGCCGGCGCCAAGGAGGGCGAACAGGAGCGCGUCCCCGAGACGCACAAUCCCGUCGGCGCCGCCGCGUCGGAGGGCGCCAAGAAGCAGGAUCUUGAGGUGAUUGAUCGAUGGUGGUUCGGAGCGGCGGGCGACCGAAAGAGCGGAAUGCUCUGUUUCUUGACGUUCUUGUUGGUUCUUUCUUUGGCGCAGGAACCUUCGCCGGAGUCCGAUGAGGCCGCGGCCGCGUCUGCCAACAUCAAGGGCGAAGACCGCGAGGCGUUCGAGGACCCUAUGGAGACUCACUUCGAGUUCCGAUCAGCGGCUGCCGACGCGACGCCGCCGUACAACUCCCUCCGCGCACGGUCAAGGAAGCAGGCCGGGCCGACGAAGUUCGUCGCCGUGGGAGCUCCCGACGGUGCCGGCUCCGAGUCGCCUGUUCUUGGCGCGUCGUCGUCUUCGGACUUCUCUGCGAUGGCCGCGCCCGGCGCCACGGUGGCGAUCGCGCACGCCUCGCCGCCCGACACCAAUCGCCGCCUGCCGUCGCGAAGCAGGAAGCAAUACUCCCCGGAGCGCAUCGCCUCCGCGGGGGCAUCAACUUCGGCGGGCGCACCGGCCGCAGGCGACCCAGCUCCCCCUGCUCGAGGCAGGAAGCAGCCCCGGCCCGAGCACUUCAUCCCGGAGGAGGCGGCAGCUAUGGCCGGCGCCAAAGCUCGCCGGGGCAACAUCGUCCUCGACAGGUUCCUCUCGUCUACUAUGGCCCGCGGCUCCUCGGCUUCGGAUUGGGUGAGGGACGUCACGGCGGAGGACGCGGGCCAGCCCGAGCGCCCGCGCGGCAUCGAGAGCUUCAGGAUCAGGGACGCGAGCCGCCACGCCGCCCGCGCCUGCGGCCUACGCGCCGCGAUCAGCCGCCUCGGAGCCUCGUGCGGCGGCGCAUCGUCGCCAUCCCCGGCGGCGCCAGGAGAACCCGAGGGGAGCGGGACCAGGAGGCUCUACGGCAUCCUCGCCGUUCUCGGCGCUUCUCUUGCGCUCAGCGUGGCGUCCUGCGUGCUGUUCUACAUCGUCGGUCAUAGCAGCGAGGCUGCUCCCUCCGGAGAGAACCAGGACAAGUGA